rnacentral:snRNA from 1 species
CUCCCUUAUGAGUUUCUU